UGCGGAGGAUCAUUAUCGAAAUUAUAGGUGAGGGUUGUAGCUGGCCUCUCGGGGCAUGUGCACGCCCGAGCCCUUAAUCCACACACACCUGUGAACCUAUUGUAAGGGCCCUUAAAAAAGGCCUUUACGUCUUAUCAUCAACCCAUCGUAUGUCUCAUAGAAUGUAAAUAUAUGUCCUCGCCUUAAAAAGCGUUGAUAAACUUAUACAACUUUCAACAACGGAUCUCUUGGCUCUCGCAUCGAUGAAGAACGCAGCGAAAUGCGAUAAGUAAUGUGAAUUGCAGAUUUUCAGUGAAUCAUCGAAUCUUUGAACGCACCUUGCGCUCCUUGGUAUUCCGAGGAGCAUGCCUGUUUGAGUGUCAUUAAAUUCUCAACUCCGAUCGAUUUGUUUCGACUUCGGAGCUUGGAUUUGGAGCGUGCUGGCGUCGGUCGGCUCCUCUUAAAUGCAUCAGCGGAAUCUAACGUUUCGGACGUCAGUGUGAUAAUCAUGUUGCGCUGUCUGUCUGAUCCGAAAGCCCGCUCAC
rnacentral:rRNA from 1 species